rnacentral:lncRNA from 1 species
AGUUGAUCAUCCAAUUCUGGCCACACCAUUAUGGCAUUUGAAACUAAUCCAUGCCAUGUUUUGGGCUGUCUAAAUGAUCUGAAGUCUGACACUAGUGUGCCUUUUAUCACAAAAGUCAUUCAACAGUGUGCUGAUGUUGAAGUUAUUUGAUGAACCUUCCAUGCUCGUCAACUGAGCCAUCUGUGGGCAUCUGGUAUUGUGGAACAUUGGAAUGGUCUCCUCAUUAACAUCUCCUAUUCUUCUUCCCUCACCUUCUCCUGAUCAACACACCUUAGUAAGACAAUUGAUCAUUCAAUGCCAGUCUUACUGGGAAGGGAUCAUUUACUCUCAGUUGCUUCC